CACGGCUCAGUAACACGUAGUCAACCUACCCUAGGGACGGGGAUAACCUCGGGAAACUGAGGCUAAACCCCGNNNNGCUAUAACUUCUGGAAUGGGUUAUAGCUGAAAUCUAUAUGGCCCUAGGAUGGGACUGCGGCCGAUCAGGUUGUUGGUGGGGUAAUGGCCCACCAAGCCUAUAACCGGUGCGGGCUCUGAGAGGAGGAGCCCGGAGAUGGGCACUGAGACAAGGGCCCAGGUCCUAUGGGGCGCAGCAGGCGCGAAACCUCCGCAAUGGGCGAAAGCCCGACGGGGUUAGUCCGAGUGACUCUUGCUGAAGGAGUCUUUUGCCAGCUGUAAAAAAGCUGGAGAAUAAGGGGUGGGCAAGUUUGGUGUCAGCCGCCGCGGUAAUACCAGCACCCCGAGUGGUCGGGACGAUUAUUGGGCCUAAAGCAUCCGUAGCCGGUCUAACAAGUCCCCCGUUAAAUCCAACGGCUCAACCGUUGGGCUGCGAGGGAUACUGUUAGACUAGGGGGCGGGAGAGGCG
rnacentral:rRNA from 1 species